AUUGAACGCUGGCGGCAGGCCUAACACAUGCAAGUCGAGCGAGCGGCGGACGGGUGAGUAAUGUAUGGGGACUGCCCGAAAGAGGGGGAUAACUACUGGAAACGGUGGCUAAUACCGCAUACUAUCCGCUAACCCCUCGGGGAUUAGCUAGUAGGUGGGGUAAAGGCUCACCUAGGCGACGAUCCCUAGCUGGUCUGAGAGGAUGAUCAGCCACACUGGGACUGAGACACGGCCAAGAAUCCUACGGAGGCAGCAGUGGGGAAUAUUGCACAAUGGGCGCAAGCCUGAUGCAGCCAUGCCGCGUGUAUGAAGAAGGCCUUAGGGUUGUAAAGUACUUGCAGCGGGGAGGCGUUACCCGCAGAAGAAGCACCGGCUAACUCCGUGCCAGCAGCCGCGGUAAUAC
rnacentral:rRNA from 1 species